UACGAAGGGGGCUAGCGUUGUUCGGAAUUACUGGGCGUAAAGCGCACGUAGGCGGAUAUUUAAGUCAGGGGUGAAAUCCCGGAGCUCAACUCCCGGAACUGCCUUUGAUACUGGGUAUCUUGAGUAUGGAAGAGGUAAGUGGAAUUGCGAGUGUAGAGGUGAAAUUCGUAGAUAUUCGCAGGAACACCAGUGGCGAAGGCGGCUUA
rnacentral:rRNA from 1 species